GCGGACGUGGUGCAAGGCGCACCGCUGCUUCAAUUUGAGCUUCGUCGUUUGGUUCAGCAUGCAGUUGAACGGGGUUCGAUUCCCCGCGUCCGUA